GUGGGGAAUUUUGGACAAUGGGCGCAAGCCUGAUCCAGCAAUGCCGCGUGCAGGAAGAAGGCCUUCGGGUUGUAAACUGCUUUUGUACGGAACGAAACGGUCCUGGUUAAUACCUGGGGCUAAUGACGGUACCGUAAGAAUAAGCACCGGCUAACUACGUGCCAGCAGCCGCGGUAAUACGUAGGGUGCGAGCGUUAAUCGGAAUUACUGGGCGUAAAGCGUGCGCAGGCGGUGCUGUAAGACAGGCGUGAAAUCCCCGGGCUCAACCUGGGAAUUGCGCUUGUGACUGCAGUGCUGGAGUACGGCAGAGGGGGAUGGAAUUCCGCGUGUAGCAGUGAAAUGCGUAGAUAUGCGGAGGAACACCGAUGGCGAAGGCAGUCCCCUGGGCCUGUACUGACGCUCAUGCACGAAAGCGUGGGGAGCAAACAGGAUUAGAUACCCGGGUAGUCC
rnacentral:rRNA from 1 species